rnacentral:misc_RNA from 1 species
UGUAUACAGUCUUAUACAGGAGAAAAGAUGUUGGCUGUGGGUCGCUCCUGGUCUGAUGAAAUUUGUAUGAACAACCUGGCAGCGAUGUGUAGAAAAAGUUGCAUUUAACAGUGGACAAAAAAAUUGAGCUAGUUUUUGACUGUUUAAUGUCAUUUAAGUACACAUUCUGUACAAAUAGUUAAUAGAAAGAAUUAUAUUUGACUGUUUAUAUCAUUACUUGUAUCUGAUAUUCAAUUAAACAGGAGGCCCAUAAAGUGAAGUUACAUGUAAAAAAUACCGACAGAUUUU